AUUGAACGCUGGCGGCAGGCCUAACACAUGCAAGUCGAGCGGAGCGGCGGACGGGUGAGUAAUGCCUAGGAAUCUGACUGGUAGUGGGGGAUCACGUCCGGAAACGGGCGCUAAUACCGAUUACUAUCAGAUGAGCCUAGGUAGGAUUAGCUAGUUGGUGGGGUAAAGGCCUACCAAGGCGACGAUCCGUAACUGGGCUGAGAGGAUGAUCAGUCACACUGUAACUGAGACACGGUCCAUACUCCUACGGUAGGCAGCAGUGGGGAAUAUUGUACAAUGGGCGAAAGCCUGAUCCAGCCAUGCCGCGUGUGUGAAGAAGGUCUUCGGAUUGUAAAGCACUUUAAGUUGGGAGGCGUUACCAACAGAAUAAGCACCGGCUAACUUCGUGCCAGCAGCCGCGGUAAUUC
rnacentral:rRNA from 1 species